rnacentral:rRNA from 1 species
UACGUAGGGUGCGAGCGUUGUCCGGAAUCACUGGGCGUAAAGGGCGCGUAGGUGGCGCGACAAGUCAGUGGUGAAAGUUCGACGCUCAACGUCGAAUCGGCCACUGAUACUGUUGGGCUUGAGCACUGUAGAGGCUAAUGGAAUUCCGGGUGUAGCGGUGGAAUGCGUAGAGAUCCGGAAGAACACCGGUGGCGAAGGCGGUUAGCUGGGCAGUUGCUGACACUGAGGCGCGACAGCGUGGGGAGCAAACAGGG